GACGAACGCUGGCGGCGUGCCUAAUACAUGCAAGUCGAGCGGACAGAUGGGAGCUUGCUCCCGGAAGUCAGCGGCGGACGGGUGAGUAACACGUGGGCAACCUGCCUGUAAGACUGGGAUAACUUCGGGAAACCGGAGCUAAUACCGGAUACGUUCUUUUCUCGCAUGAGAGAAGAUGGAAAGAUGGUUUCGGCUAUCACUUACAGAUGGGCCCGCGGCGCAUUAGCUAGUUGGUGAGGUAAUGGCUCACCAAGGCGACGAUGCGUAGCCGACCUGAGAGGGUGGUCGGCCACACGGGGACUGAGACACGGCCCAGACUCCUACGGGAGGCAGCAGUAGGGAAUCUUCCGCAAUGGACGAAAGUCUGACGGAGCAACGCCGCGUGAACGAUGAAGGCCUUCGGGUCGUAAAGUUCUGUUGUUAGGGAAGAACAAGUACCAGAGUAACUGCUGGUACCUUGACGGUACCUAACCAGAAAGCCACAGCUAACUACGUGCCAGCCGCCGCGGUAACAC
rnacentral:rRNA from 1 species